rnacentral:rRNA from 1 species
AUGCUUAGGAGAAUGUACCAAGGUGGUUCCUCGGCAAAGAAAGGGACAAGGAUUGCUAUACGUGACCAAGAUGUUGAAUUGCCGAGGGACGCAUAUGUACGGGCGUGUGAGUGGCCAUCCGAUGAUUUUAUGGUCGAAGCAGGCUUUAAGGAGGAAUUUGACGCGUAUGUGCGUAAUGCUGAGCUGGAGGACUUCUUACAAGAUAAGUGUCCUCAGUACUAUCAAUUGACUGAUUCCUUUCUGCGGAGGUUUAAAUAUAACUGUACACGUAAUUCUCCUAGUGUCCUAUUUGAUAUUUAUGAUACAUCUUACACCAUGGACUUAGAGGAUUUUACAAAUGCUUGCAAACUCCCGCAGUGGGGUAAUAUUAAUGAUCCUCACAAAUCUGAAUUUAGAGAUUUUCUUGCUAGUAUUACUGUGGGAGAAUCUAGGGACAUAACACAAGCUACCAUAGGGAGCAUUCAUUUUCCUACUAUACAUUAUUUUGCUCUCUUUAUUGGUAGAUGUAUUAACGGUAAGGAUGAAGCAUGUCACAUGUGUGUCCUUGAUCUGAGUAUCCUCAAGAGUGUUGUGUCAGGUUUUAAAGGUUAUAACUUGGGGGCAAUAGUUGCAUGUAGGUUGCAGAACAAUAGUAGAAAGGGAAAUUUCUUUGGAGGAAUUUAUGCAACCCGUGUGGCUAAUUUUCUUGGUAUAGCCCUACGAGAGGGAGAUAUGAUAAUACCUCUUGUCUAUUUGGAUAAGGAAGCUAUGUUUAGUCAUCAUUUUCUUGAGAGGAAUGAACAAUUCCUCCAUUAUCGACUAAUCUAUGACAGACGCAACAUCGUCCCUGUUACUCUUCCUGCUCCCUACCUUUUUGAUUAUCAGGCAAAAGGAAGAUAUGUUGUCACCAGGGAGGAAGCAGUUGAAUAG